rnacentral:rRNA from 1 species
UGGGGAAUCUUGCGCAAUGGGCGGAAGCCUGACGCAGCAACGCCGCGUGAGGGAUGAAUGCCUUCGGGUUGUAAACCUCUUUCGAGCAGGGACGAUUGUGACGGUACCUGCAGAAGAAGCUCCGGCCAACUACGUGCCAGCAGCCGCGGUAAUACGUAGGGAGCGAGCGUUGUCCGGAUUUAUUGGGCGUAAAGAGCUCGUAGGCGGCUUGGUAAGUCGGAUGUGAAACCUCCACGCUCAACGUGGAGACGCCAUCCGAUACUGCUAUGGCUUGAGUCCGGUAGGGGCCCACGGAAUUCCUGGUGUAGCGGUGAAAUGCGCAGAUAUCAGGAGGAACACCGGUGGCGAAGGCGGUGGGCUGGGCCGGUACUGACGCUGAGGAGCGAAAGCGUGGGGAGCGAACAGGAUUAGAUACCCCCGUAGUCC